GACGAACGCUGGCGGCGUGCCUAAUACAUGCAAGUAGAACGCUGAAGAGAGGAGCUUGCUCUUCUUGGAUGAGUUGCGAACGGGUGAGUAACGCGUAGGUAACCUGCCUUGUAGCGGGGGAUAACUAUUGGAAACGAUAGCUAAUACCGCAUAACAAUGGAUGACACAUGUCAUUUAUUUGAAAGGGGCAAUUGCUCCACUACAAGAUGGACCUGCGUUGUAUUAGCUAGUAGGUGAGGUAAUGGCUCACCUAGGCGACGAUACAUAGCCGACCUGAGAGGGUGAUCGGCCACACUGGGACUGAGACACGGCCCAGACUCCUACGGGAGGCAGCAGUAGGGAAUCUUCGGCAAUGGGGGCAACCCUGACCGAGCAACGCCGCGUGAGUGAAGAAGGUUUUCGGAUCGUAAAGCUCUGUUGUAAGUCAAGAACGGGUGUGAGAGUGGAAAGUUCACACUGUGACGGUAGCUUACCAGAAAGGGACGGCUAACUACGUGCCAGCAGCCGCGGUAAUACGUAGGUCCCGAGCGUUGUCCGGAUUUAUUGGGCGUAAAGCGAGCGCAGGCGGUUUGAUAAGUCUGAAGUUAAAGGCUGUGGCUCAACCAUAGUUCGCUUUGGAAACUGUCAAACUUGAGUGCAGAAGGGGAGAGUGGAAUUCCAUGUGUAGCGGUGAAAUGCGUAGAUAUAUGGAGGAACACCGGUGGCGAAAGCGGCUCUCUGGUCUGUAACUGACGCUGAGGCUCGAAAGCGUGGGGAGCGAACAGGAUUAGAUACCCUGGUAGUCCACGCCGUAAACGAUGAGUGCUAGGUGUUGGAUCCUUUCCGGGAUUCAGUGCCGCAGCUAACGCAUUAAGCACUCCGCCUGGGGAGUACGACCGCAAGGUUGAAACUCAAAGGAAUUGACGGGGGGCCCGCACAAGCGGUGGAGCAUGUGGUUUAAUUCGAAGCAACGCGAAGAACCUUACCAGGUCUUGACAUCCCGAUGCUAUUUCUAGAGAUAGAAAGUUACUUCGGUACAUCGGUGACAGGUGGUGCAUGGUUGUCGUCAGCUCGUGUCGUGAGAUGUUGGGUUAAGUCCCGCAACGAGCGCAACCCCUAUUGUUAGUUGCCAUCAUUCAGUUGGGCACUCUAGCGAGACUGCCGGUAAUAAACCGGAGGAAGGUGGGGAUGACGUCAAAUCAUCAUGCCCCUUAUGACCUGGGCUACACACGUGCUACAAUGGUUGGUACAACGAGUUGCGAGUCGGUGACGGCGAGCUAAUCUCUUAAAGCCAAUCUCAGUUCGGAUUGUAGGCUGCAACUCGCCUACAUGAAGUCGGAAUCGCUAGUAAUCGCGGAUCAGCACGCCGCGGUGAAUACGUUCCCGGGCCUUGUACACACCGCCCGUCACACCACGAGAGUUUGUAACACCCGAAGUCGGUGAGGUAACCUUUUGGAGCCAGCCGCCUAAGGUGGGACAGAUGAUUGGGGUG
rnacentral:rRNA from 1 species